UCAGCCUCCUGAGUGGCUAGGAUGACAGGCAUGAGCCACCAGCGCCUAGCCCACAUGAACUUUUUGAUAGGCUGAGAAGUCAUUGAAUAAGCAAGCUCCUUAGUAAAUGUUAUCUGGAGUCAAUUGUUUUGCCUUGAACAUGGACUCUCACUGGCUUUAUUCUCCACAAACAAAUAGUUGUUUGGGGAAUAAUGACAAGAGAAUACAAACCUGUGCAUUCUCUGUUCAGAUGCAAGGUGUUUUUUGUUUUGUUCUCAGAUAUUUUCUAUCUGAGGCCUGGUUGAAUCUUUGGGUACAGACCCUGCGGAUAGCAAGGCCACCUCUGUUUUCCUUUAUCCAAGCUACAGAUGGCUAGAGGGAGAGGAAGAGUCUACCGCACAGAGAUGCUCAACGUUACCAGGGACUUGCUCUGGCUGAGGUCCGGCCGGAGCUUAUUUAAGACAGCGAAAGUGAAAAGUGCAAGAGGAAAUCGGCUUGUUUAAUUGAGCAUAGAUUUCCCUGGCAGCAAGAUAAGGGACCUCUUCAAGGUUACAGGUAGGAGCUUGGCUGGGUGAGGAAAGGACUGAAGGUAUUCUCGGGUGCCGGGGAAUUCUGCAUCCAGGUGAAUAAAUUGCUGUGCCCUUGAACUGAACCCACACACCACCCGAUGGAUGCUGGGAGAGCAGAUCAGAGAAACAUCACUGCUGCUUCCCCUUCCCUGGGAGGUGACGCAGGGCAGAGGCUGGUCGCCCUCUGCUGGGAGGCCCAGCUCCCUGUGGGGAGGGCAGGGGAGGUGAGGGCUGUCUAGGAGCCUCAUGGAGUCCUCCCACCCCCUUUCCCCCCCACCCCCACUGCUCGAUUCUUCUCCUGGAAACCCUAGACACACUGCUUUACCCCAAUCUAGGUCACCAACUGCUCUGGGUGGCUUGCACAGCUAAGAGGCUGGCUCAUGAAAGAUUCGAAGUCUUUCUGCUCCAGACAGCAAAGCACAUCCUCUCUGCAGCCAGGCUCUGUUUCUGCCUUGGUGCGGAGAGGCGGGAGACUUUGGGCCGCAGAGCUAUGAGCUAUGAGCUG